rnacentral:misc_RNA from 1 species
CCUAGGACGGUGGCGUGCCAGCGUGGGGGAGGGGGUGCGGAUGCCGAUGAGGGCGCGAUCGCGCCACCGUUGAGCAGGGAGGGGUGGCGUCCCGACCAGGCAGAGGAGGGGGCGCGCGCCAGGGGUGGCGGUGUGCAAGCGCCGAGGAGGACCGGGGCCCGCCGCGGCGGCCAAUGGUGGGGUUGCCCGCCCGUUGGCCUGGAGGGGAGGACAGCGUGCGCAGAAGCUGCAGGCGCGUCCAUGGAGGUGGAGCUCCGGCUGAGGCGAGCCCAACCUCAUGAUGUAUUGCAUAGGAGAAGGU